GAUGAACGCUGGCGGCGCGCCUAACACAUGCAAGUCGAACGGUUAAAGCACCUUUUAGGUGUGUAUAAAGUGGCGAACGGCUGAGUAACACGUGGGCAACCUGCCCUCCUCUUGGGGAUAGCCUCGGGAAACCGAGGAUAAUACCCGAUACUUCAAUGUGGCCGCAUGACGACAUUGAGAAAGCUUUUGCGGAGAAGGAUGGGCCCGCGGCCUGUUAGCUUGUUGGUGGGGUAGAGGCCUACCAAGGCAAUGAUGGGUAGCUGGGUUGAGAGACCGACCAGCCAGAUUGGGACUGAGACACGGCCCAGACUCCUACGGGAGGCAGCAGUGGGGAAUCUUGCACAAUGGGCGAAAGCCUGAUGCGGCGACGCCGCGUGCGGGACGAAGGCCUUCGGGUUGUAAACCGCUUUCAGCAGGGACGAGGCGAUAAGUGACGGUACCUGCAGAAGAAGCCCCGGCUAACUACGUGCCAGCAGCCGCGGUAAUACGUAGGGGGCAAGCGUUAUCCGGAUUCAUUGGGCGUAAAGCGCUCGUAGGCGGUCUGUUAGGUCGGGAGUUAAAUCCGGAGGCUCAACCUCCGCCCGCUCCCGAUACCGGCAGACUUGAGUUUGGUAGGGGAAGGUGGAAUUCCUAGUGUAGCGGUGGAAUGCGCAGAUAUUAGGAAGAACACCAGUGGCGAAAGCGGCCUUCUGGGCCAUAACUGACGCUGAGGAGCGAAAGCUAGGGGAGCAAACAGG
rnacentral:rRNA from 1 species